rnacentral:tRNA from 1 species
CGCGGGGUGGAGCAGCUGGUAGCUCGUCGGGCUCAUAACCCGAAGGUCACAGGUUCGAAUCCUGUCCCCGCCACUA